AAGGUUUCGUAGAUAAUCGCGUGGGCAACCACGAGGAAAGUCCGGGCUUCGCAGAGCAGCGCCUGGGGUAACGCCCCUCCAUCGCAAGGUGAGGAACAGUGGAACAGAGAGAAUGUCCAGGGCAUUGAUCCUUUUUUCGGGAACGGGAGAACUAAGGGGAGCCGCUGGAGUGAAAACAGCUAAACUCGUGCGCGAAGCAAGAUCAAAUAGGGAAUCCCUCCUAGCAAUAGGGGGUUCUUGGUAGAGCCGCAAGGUUCUAAACAGAGAAUAAGGGCUGCUCGCCUGAAGAUUCCGGGUACGAUCGCUCGAGCCCCUCAGUAAUGUUGGGCCUAGAGGAAUGAUUAUCGAACUGUGAAGACAAUGUGGGAGUCAACACAGGGAACAGAACCCGGCUUAUCGCGGAACCGACCCA
rnacentral:RNase_P_RNA from 1 species